GCUCAAGAAGCUGAUUAAGCGGUUAGCCUGCAAAGUUAAUUAUAGGAUGUAAUGUCCCUUGAGCU
rnacentral:tRNA from 1 species